AUACUUACCUUGUUCCGGUAUUCUGAGAUCAUGCAAUCAGAGUACUAGUGCAGGAGGCCUGCAUUGCACAUCGCGGAGUCGCCCUGCGCUCAAUUGUCCUUCGGGGCCAUUGGGGGCGUAAUUUUUGAUUUUCAACUCGCUUUCAUUGU
rnacentral:snRNA from 24 species